AACGAACGCUGGCGGCAGGCUUAACACAUGCAAGUCGAACGGGCGUAGCAAUACGUCAGUGGCGGACGGGUGAGUAACACGUGGGAAUAUGCCUUUCGGUUCGGAACAACUCGGGGAAACUCGUGCUAAUUCCGGAUACGCCCUUACGGGGAAAGAUUUAUCGCCGAAGGAUUAGCCCGCGUUGGAUUAGCUAGUUGGUGAGGUAAUGGCCCACCAAGGCGACGAUCCAUAGCUGGUUUGAGAGAACGACCAGCCACACUGGGACUGAGACACGGCCCAGACUCCUACGGGAGGCAGCAGUGGGGAAUCUUGGACAAUGGAGGAAACUCUGAUCCAGCCAUGCCGCGUGAGUGAUGAAGGCCUUCGGUUGUAAACUACUUUCGGUCGGGAC
rnacentral:rRNA from 1 species